CACGACCUCCCCGUCCGCCAGAAAAUUACGGGCUUUAACCCCCGCCUAAAACUCAAAAGACUUGACGGUGUUCCAACCUACCUAGAGGAGCCUGUUCCAUAAUCGAUAUUCCACGAUCAACCCCACCACCCCUAGAAUAUCUCAGCCUAUAUACCGCCGUCACCAGCCCACCUUUUAAAAGAUACAAAUUAGGCACAACAGUAUUUUACUAACACGCCAGGUCAAGGUGUAGCUCACGGGGUGGCGCGAAUGGGCUACAUUAUCUAUACUAGAUUAUACGAAUUAUUUCUUGAUAAAGUCAUAUAAAGGCGGAUUUAGCAGUAAAUUAAGCUAGAAUACUCAAUUUAACCCACGCCCUGGAACA
rnacentral:rRNA from 1 species